CCUACGGGUGGCAGCAGUCGAGAAUCAUUCACAAUGGGGGAAACCCUGAUGGUGCGACGCCGCGUGGGGGAAUGAAGGUCUUCGGAUUGUAAACCCCUGUCAUGUGGGAGCAAAUUAAAAAGAUAGUACCACAAGAGGAAGAGCCGGCUAACUCUGUGCCAGCAGCCGCGGUAAUACAGAGGUCUCAAGCGUUGUUCGGAGUCACUGGGCGUAAAGCGUGCGCAGGCUGUGUCGUAAGUCGUGUGUGAAAGGCGCGGGCUCAACCCGCGGACGGCACAUGAUACUGCGAGACUAGAGUAAGGGAGAGGGAACCGGAAUUCUCGGUGUAGCAGUGAAAUGCGUAGAUAUCGAGAGGAACACUCGUGGCGAAGGCGGGUUCCUGGACAUUAACUGACGCUGAGGCACGAAGGCCAGGGGAGCGAAAGGGAUUAGAUACCCGGGUAGUC
rnacentral:rRNA from 1 species